rnacentral:lncRNA from 10 species
CCAUCCAGGCCAGGGGCAGCUACGCAGGGGCUGAAGGUGCUGGGAAAGGCCUCAUGGGUGUCAGGACCCCUACAUCUGGGGACAGCACCACCCCCUCCUGCUGGGGGUGCUGCUGGCAGAGCUGCAGCCACACCUGCCCCUGUGUCGACACCCAGAGGACAGGAUCCAGCUCCUUGCCCACCUGGACACCCUGCCUGGCCCUGUUCCCUUCCACCUUGGCUCCAGCCU